ACUCCUACGGGAGGCAGCAGUGGGGAAUAUUGCACAAUGGGGGAAACCCUGAUGCAGCCAUGCCGCGUGUGUGAAGAAGGCCUUGGUUGUAAAGCACUUCUAGUAGGGAGGAAGGUAGUGUAGUUAACACCUGCAUUAUUUGUACGUUACCUACAGAAGAAGCACCGGCUAACUCCGUGCCAGCAGCCGCGGUAAGUACGGAGGGUGCGAGCGUUAAUCGGAAUUACUGGGCGUAAAGCGCAUGCAGGCGGCCUGUUAAGUCAGAUGUGAAAGCCCGGGGUCUUAACCUCGGAAUUGCAUUUGAAACUGGCAGGCUAGAGUCUUGUAGAGGGGUUAGAAUUUCAGGUGUAGCGGUGAAAUGCGUAGAGAUCUGAAGG
rnacentral:rRNA from 1 species